UUGUUCCGUAAUUUCCGCUUACGUUGUAUUGCGGAACUGCUUCAUCUCGUCAGUUGUCCACCCAUAAAAACAGUGCACACGACAGGUAGCAGGAAGCACAUCAAACGUCUGUAGAAAAGAUGAAGUUCCGCGAUGCCGCGCUUUGCUUUUUCUGGGCAGCUGUUGUUAGAACAUUCGCCACAGGCGGAACCAGUCAAGAUAUCCCCGAGGAAAUCACGUUUCAGGUCUACGUCGCUUUGGAUAACGUUCAGCACACCGCUUUCAGUGACCGCAAUAAAGGAGAAAAGUACGUCAGCUUGUUCUUCAACGCAAUAAAUCGCCAAUUUCAAGUUAUGCAGGAUCCUAGAAUCAAGUUCGAAGUCGUAAUGUAUCACGACCAGG